AAGCUAGCUAGUAAGUAAUUUUUCUUUAAAACAAAAUCACCUAGAGCUGUGGCAAUAACAAUAAAAACAUAUUUCAGAGUUGGAUAAACUGGCUUUGAGUCCCAGUUCUAGUACUUAAUUGCUGUGUAAUCUUAGUAACUAAUCUAAGUAACUUAGUAAGUUAAUCUUAGCAAGUUCAUCUAAGUAACUUGCCUAAGUUACUUAGGCUUUCUGAGCCUCCAUUUCUUCACCUAUAAAAUGAUGACUAUGACAACACUUACCUAAACAAAUUACUGUGAGGCUCAAUAUGAGAAUAUAUGUGAAGGUUCUUACUAAAUGUAAAUAUUGACUUCAUUAAUUUCUUUAAUGUUAAAAAAGUAUCAGCCAAAUAUCACUGACUGAUGAAUAGAUAAAACGCAGUAUGUCUACACAAUGGAGUAUUAUUGGACUAUGAAAAGGAAUGAUGUCUUAAUACAUGCUACAACAUGGAUGAGCAUUGAAAACAUUAUGCAAAGUGAAAGAAGCCAGGCACAGAAGACGAUAUAUUGUACGAUCCCAUUCAUAUGAAAUGUCCAGAACAGACAAAUCCAUAGAGACAGAAAGUAGAUUAGUGGUUGCCUGGGCUGGGGGAUAGGGGGUGGUUAUGGGGUUUCUUUUUGGGGUGGUGACAAUGUUCUAAAGUUAGAUUGUGGUGAUGGUUGUAAAAAUCUGUAAAUAUAGUAUUACUAUAAACCAUUGAACUGUAUAUUUGAAAAGGGUAAAUUGUGUGGAAUAUGAACUAUAUCUCAAUAAAGCUAUUAUAAAAAGAUCCUGAAGGCAAAAAAAAAAAGAAGUAUCAGCACGAACCAUUAGGAAUACCAAGAAAUUUUUUUUAGCUCUGAUAGUUCAUUCAUAUAGAUUAUUAAUGUAAAUUACUUCCACAGAGUCACUCCAAACCAAACGUCAGGUAAUAUUAAAUGUAGGGACCUGUCCUCAGUUCUAUUAACUGAAUUACAAAUGGUCAUGCCUUCUUGUUGUCAGUUGUCAAAAUGUAAGUAAACUAGAGAAUGAAUAUGCUGGUAUAUUCCAUCAUUCAUAGCUUCUAUGAGAAGUUACUAUGUUACUGCAAAGCUACAGAAUGCCACAAUUGUUCUGUUUAUACAUUUUUAUAUAUGUAGACAUACAUACAGUACUCUGUAUCAUUACAUAUAUAAAAUGGCUUUUUAACCACAGGAAGUAUUUGAGGAACAGAUCUGGCAUAGCUGUGCAAAUAUGACAAGGCUUUAAAAAUGGGACAAAAACAAUUCAAGAAAUACCUUACAAGGGACUCUAACACAGCUCAUUCCCUGCCUAAAAUAAGUUGUUGUAUUAAGUUUGACACAUUUACAUAUUUAGGUACUUAGUGGGAUCAUUCAAGAGAACUAAGUAAAAUUUUGGUUUAAAGAGAUUUAAGAUUCAAAUUUCCUUUGGAAACAGACAAUUCAGAGAUAGCAGCUGCCAAAUACUAGUAAAUAUGUAAGAGUUUCUAGACCAGUGCUGUCCAACAGAAAUAUAAAGUGAGUCACAUAUGUAAUUUAUAUUUUUGCCACAUUAAAAAGGUAAAAGGAAGGUAAAAUUAAUAUUUUAUUUAACCCAAUGUAUUAAAAAAAAUUUCAACAUGAAAUCAAUAUUAAAUUAUUGAGAUUUUUUUUUGUACUAUCUUUGAAAUCUGGUAUAUACUUUACACUUACAGCACAUCUCAAUUCAGACUAGCCACAUUUCCAGUGCUCAAUAGCUGCAUGUGGCCAUGGCUGCCAUGGGCAGUAUAAUUCUAGACCUAAUUGAAAAAGAAAAACAAAAACAGGUGUCCCUCCUCCUUAUACUCUCAAAGACACUGUCCUUAAAUAGCAUCUAACCAAGAAAUGCAUACAUAAUUGUUUUAGGCAAGUACAGUUAAACUGCGAAUUUUUAGAAGCCACUGUGCUAGGAGUCUAGUAAAGUGAUUUUGUGGCACAGCUGGUGGGACUUUAUACUCUAGGAAACCACGUGCUGAUAUACCUCAUUUCCAUUGAAAAAGAUAGGAUGUUACAUGCUUACACCAUAUUUUUAAGAGAAAGCAAUAUGAUUUUAGCAAAAGGAAAAUCAAGGUUUUGAUUAGAGGUAAUUAGUUGAGAAUCAGAGUAUUAUUUAGAUUAAAACAAAAGAAAAAAAAUACAUAGUCACUGUUAAGGCUCCAGGAGAUAACUGUUUUAAAUUCUGUCAUCAGGAAUACACAGAAGUGUUUUGUUGUGAUUGAAAAACUAGAUUCAAUAUAACACAAUAAAAGGUAGAUAAAAACACUUAUCUGAAAAAAGUAAAUAAUUUUGCUGUCAGGAUAUAAUACAUGGUAUGAUUUAGCUUUUAAAGAAAUAAAAAUGAGAGACAUCUCUAAUUCACAAAAGACAUGUGGUCUUCUGAAUUCAGAGGCAGGAAAUAAAAUGGAAGAUGGUAAUAAUGUUUCAAAGCUGGACAGGAAAAGAGUAUAGCAGCCAAAACCUAAAAUGAUAAAAGAAGGUGACUGUCUACUUGUUAUCAGUUAAGUUACCAUAAAUUACACCCUAAGUAUAAAGAUCCAAUACUUUAGUAUAUCAUCUACAAAUUUGAAUCAGCCCUUGUUCUAGGUUAUGAUUCCCUGGAAAAGAUGCAUGCAAGCUUAAUAGUUGUACACUAAGGGAGAUGCAAUGAAAGUGAGAGGGUGUAAAGAAUAAUAAAUUAAAUUAUAACAGGGCAAGAGGAAUAAAUUAUUUUAAAACUAGACAUGUAGCCUGGAAAGUGAAAGGCUAAUAAACAGGCUAUAGGAAGAUUGAAUUAAAAAUAAUCAAGUAGAUCUGAUGUAAUGUCAUAGCAGGCAAAUACAUUUUUCUUCAAAAGCUCCUUGACAUGAAUGCCACUGCCACAAACAGUAUAAAAAUAAAGCAGGAUAUUUCAGGAUGCAGUAGAAUUGUAGCUUACAAGGCAAUUAGGGUGAAAAUUGGUGAGUAUGGAGAAAAAUCAGGUAAAGUAAAGAUUACCCUAAAUUGCUUACAAUCAUUCAUCAGGCAUAGCAAACACAGUUUUGUGUAUACUACAGUGCUAUGUAUCUGUACGUAUAUGAUUUAUAAUGUAGUUAAUUUGUAUAUAUUAGAUUACAAAUGCAGUGUCUAACUCUAUAGCAUUUUUAAUUGCAUAGAGAAAGGGAAGAGUUGAAUUGGAGCAACAUUAUUUUUGAAAUGUAACAGAUUUCAUUAAUACUUCAGUAACAAGUUGGGGAACUAAAAUUAAAAGCAUUUAUUGCUCAGAAAGUAUACUUUUCAAGAAAGAACAUUAUAAAAGUUCAUAAACAAUGUUUAUAUGCUUGUGGCAGAUAGACUUUUAAUUAAGGUGGCUCCCAUGAUCCCUGCCUCCUGAUGUGCAUACCCUUGCAUAAUCCUCGCCUCUUGAGCGUGGUGAUAUCUGUGACUUUCUUCUACCCAACAGUACAUGUCAAAAGUGAUGGGAUAUGUGUGGUGAUGUGUACGUGCUUCCAUUACAUGAUUUACUGUGCCUGUCUUGCUGGAGAUAUUCCCUCCCUUCCUGACUUUAAGGAAGCAGAGAACCACUGGGGGUCCCUCAGAUAGCAGGGAACUGCAGGUAGCCCUAGGAGCUGAGGGUGGCCUCCAUCUGACAGGUAGCAAGAAACUGAAGUCCUCAGUUCCACAACCACAAGGAACUGAAUUUUGCCAAUAACCUGAAUGAACCUGGAAGCAGAUUAAACCUCAGAUGACAGCAGAGCCUCAGUCAACAUCUUGACUGCAGCCCUGUGAGACUCUGAGCAGGGUACCCAGCUAAGCUGUGCCUGGAUUCUGAACCCAUGGGAACUGAGAAACAAUAAAUGUGUUGUUUUAAGCCACUUAAGUUUGUGGUAAUCUUGUUACACAGCAAUAGAUAAUCUAUUACAUAGGUUUAUACCUAAAAUAGGGAUUUAGCUCAAGAAGGAUGAAAAACUCUAAAAAGGAAAUCUUAACGCUAUAAUCGUUAAACCAUAACAAAGAAAAGAUAGGGGAAGAGAUAUUUAAAGAAACCAGGGAGGCAAUAUAGGGAACCCUCUUUGAAGCUCAUAUUUAAAAAGAAAAAAAUGGCCUAACAUAGGAUUCGGUAUUUGAACAAUAUUUAAUGGGUAUGUAUUAUCUGCCAGCCUGCUGGGACAGAGUGGUAAACAAGAUAGACAAGUACCCUGGCCUCAGGAAAUCUAUAUUCUAGUGACAAAACACGGAACAUGGAAGUCUCAAGUCAUAAGUAAGCUCAGGUUCAUACUCAUAUUAAAAGUUCCCAAAAGGAUUUUUGUUUUGUGAAACAGUAUUUGGAAAAAGAAGAGGAACAAGGAUGCCAGAGGGAAGGCAGAACCACUCAAUGGCUCUAUUUUGCUCCAGUCUCUUCCACUACUGAGAAAUAUUUUCCAACUAGAAAGGGUGGGACAAAUUUAACCAGUUUAAUAUGAGUUUAAUGUCACAGAACAACUUAAGGAUCAUGAACACCUAUUUCUUUUUACAAAUAAUGAAAAUGAGAAUUUAGAGGUAUUAAAAUGUCAGGCCUUACUAUCACCUGCCAGGGGCUUCAGGGAGAGAAAAAGAGUUCUCUUGGUGAUGAAAAAGAAGAUGCAGAUGCUUACAUGAGCAGAAAUAAUGAGUUUGUACUUCAAAAAUCCCCUUUGUUCUAACCACAGAGGAUAACAGACACGAUAUAAAAGAGAAAACUGAAACAACAUGCUGACUCAAAUACAGAAUAACAUCUAUGUGGACAGACACGGAAACACAUAACCAAACAGGACUGAAGCCACAAGCAUGAUGGCUUCUGAUUUAUUUUUCUAUAUGUGUCAGGGAGUAGGAGUGGUGGCUGGGAACUGGUUCCUCCAGAAGAAAGGGGUCCAAAAUGUUUUGCGCAAGACAGGGAAUAGAAUCAGGCUCAAUGCUUGAAGCCAGGAGCUAGGUGGCGCUCUCUUACUUGUGUAGGGAUGCUAGAAAAACAAGCAACUGUGUAUUUGCUGACUGAGGCUAUAUGGCUUAAUGGAAGACAAGGCUGGAAGUGACAAUUCUAAACUAUACGAAGAAAUCUUGUAUUAAGAAAUCCAACAAGGCCGGGCGCGGUGGCUCACGCCUGUAAUUCCAGCACUUUGGGAGGCCGAGGCGGGCGGAUCACCAGGUCAGGAGAUCGAGACCAUCCUGGCUAACACGGUGAAACUUCGUUAUUUCCAGUCUUUACUAAAAAUACAAAAAAUUAGCCGGGCAUGGUGGUGGGCAUCUGUAGUCCCAGCUACUCGGGAGGCUGAGGCAGGAGAAUGGCGUGAACCUGGGAGACAGAGCUUGCAGUGAGCCGAGAUCAGGCCACUGAAUUCCAGCCUGGGCGACAGAGCGAGACUCCAUCUCAAAAAAAAAAAAAAAAAAAAAAAAAGAAAAGAAAAAAGAAAUCCAACAAACUUAAUAGCUGGACUAGAGUUCAUUCCGGCCUAACACAGAUUUUAAAAUACAUAUGUUUUAAGUAUUCGGAGAUAAAUUAGGAAAUGACUUCCAUUUUAAAAACAAACAAACAUGAAACUAAGAAUAAAAAAAAAAGAGAACUGAAACAAAAUCAGGUGGAUGUGAAAAAUAACCAAAUAAAAACUAUAGAAAUGAAAAUAUUAAAUAAGAUGAAAAAUGUACUAGAUGGGGUAAACUCUAGACUAGAUAGAGAGGAUGAGUAAACUAGCAUUCCCCCAUAUUGCUGGUAGGAGUGUAACUUGACACAUCUACUGUGAAAAAUGGUUUGCACUAUCUACUCAAAGUGAAGAUACACAUAAUCUAUGGCCUAGAAAUUCUACUCCUACAGAAAGGUGAAUACAUUUACAUCAGGAGGCAUAUACAAAAAUGUUCAUAGCAGCAUUUUUCAUAAUAGCCAAAUACUGAAAACAACUCGAAUGUCAUCAACAGCUGAAUAAAUACUAAACUUCAAUAAUUUCAUAUAGCAAUAAGAAGCAAUGAAAAAAACAGCUAUGUAUAAUACUGUGGAUGAAUCUCACAAACAUAAUGUUGAGUGAAAGAAGCCAGAUCAAAAAAUACAAAAAAAUACAUACUAAGUGACUCAGAUAUGCAUGCACAUGCUCUCUCUCUCUUUUCUUUUAUAUUUUUAAUAUAUCAAAUAUUAAACACAUGCAAAACUAAACUCUGGUGUUCAGGGCUGCACAUUUAAGUGUUAGAACUACAAAGAAAAGUAAGGAAGUGAUUAUGAUAAAAGUCAGGCUGAUGUUUAUCUCAGGGAGAGGGAGGAAGUUGUGAUCGUGGGGCAAAUAGAGGUUCUUGGGAUUGGCGGCGUUCUAUGAACAAGUUACAUGAGCCUUUAUAAUAAUUUUUCAAGUUGUACAUUGAUAUUUAAUGCAUUUUUCUCUAUGUGUCUUAUAUUUCACAAUACAAAAAAGGCUUUUAUGAUUUGUCUUGUUUGUUUUAAAGAGAGGAUUUGGAAAUGGAAGGUAGAUACUGAGAAACUCACCAGGGACGCAGCACAGAGAAACAAAGAGAUUAAAAAAAUAUAAAAGGGCAGUUAAGAGACAUGGAUGAUGGGUUGAAAGGUUCCAAUAUUCAUCCAAUAGCAAUUCCAGAAGAGGAUGGAGGUAAUGGUAGAGGAGCAAUAUUUGAAGAGAUAAUUGCUGAGAACUUUCCAGAUCUGAAGACAGACUUGGAUCCAAGUACCUAACAGGAUAAAUAAAAAUAAAUCCAAACACAGGCAUAUCAUAGUAAAACUACAGAACAUCAAUGAUAAAGAGAUAAUGUUAGAAACUCCCAGACAAUAAACCAGAUUAUCUACAAAUGAACCACAUAUUGACAGCAGAGGUCUCAUCAACAUCGAAAAUGGCCAGAAGGGAUGUGGGAAAAACAAUUGUUAAUAUAGGCUUUUAUACUCAUCCUCAGAGUGAGGGCAAAACAAAGACAAACCUAAAAAGAAUAGGCUUACUAUCCCACACUAAAACUAAAAGAACUAUAGAAGGAUGCCCCUCAGCAAAAAAAAAAAGAAGAAGAAAAAAAGGAAAAAAGUAGGUGGGAAUAAAAAAGGUGUGAGACCAAAGAAAUGAUACUGGACACAAACUAAGAAAAAUAAGUCAAUAAAUAUGAUUUACUGUGGACUGCAAAGAAAACAACAGUAAUUAUUACAUGUUGAACAAAAUGGGGGAAAUGAAAGCUUUAAACAAAAUAACACAAUUGGUGAUGGAGGCGGUAGAAUAAAAUAUUAGAGUUCCUUAUCAUGGUCGGGAGAUUAAAAAUACCAAAAAAUGACAUACACUCUUAGAAAAAUAUAUGGUUAAACAAUAUCUUAAAAAUCUGAGGGUAUACGCAAAAGAAAAAAAAUCACCAAAAUAAAAACAUAGAAAUGUAUCUUAUUGUUCCCAAAUCAGCAGAGGAAGAAUGGAAAAAGACUAAAAGACUGAAGAUGGGUAGCUAUAGUUUUAGGUUUUAAAGAGCAUAAAGACUAAAAUUUUCCUAUCUCCAACUUCUAAGCCUAACAACAAUUGAUCAAAUGAAAGACAAUAUUAUUAAAUAUAUACUUUGUAAGCAUUUACAAAAAAAGGAAUUAGUAUGACCAAGUGAAAUUAGCAUGUGUUUACUGAUAAAAAGUUUUACCAGUCUAGCAUUAUUCCCCACCCUUGUUUUUUGGUUUGGUUUAAUUUAAUUUUUUUUAAAUGUUUGUUAAUUGUAAAAAAAAAUUAAGAAAACAAAGAAAAAAAUUCUAACUACACCGUUAACAUAUUAGUAUGCGUAUGUGUGUUGUUGUUGUUGCUGAGACCGCUAGGUUAGCAGAUGAAGGAAGGGACAUAAGCUAGAUGCAGUGACAACAACACUGGACUUGGGAGACUGGAGCCCAGAACUUUCAGACUUACAAGGAAGGAAAUGGUACAGCAGGGUGGCCUAGGCAUCAAGGCUUUGAUGUCCAAGCAUCUGGAUCUGCUACUUACUGUUGUCAAAAGUUACUUGGCCAAGGGACUCCAAUUUCACUUUUCUAAUCUCGGUUUCCUCACGUGUAAAACAAGGGGAUAGGAGGGUAUAUUGUCAUAUGAUCUAGCGUCUCUCUGAGCUUUUACAAUUCUAAGCAUCUAAAAGCAUUACAUAAAUUGAAACAAAAUCAUAAAGCAUAUACUUGUUAAAUCUCUAGAUGAGACAAAACUGAAAGAGUAACAGUAAAGAGUGAAAACGAAUUCAGACUAUAUAGGAAUAGGCUAAAAUCACUAUUAUGAAAUUAAACAGGAAGAAACAAAGACCUGAAUUUAGAUUUAACAAAAAAACUACACAAAUACAGAACAGAGCAGACUUGGUUUGACAAUGAUUCAUUUGAAAACGAGCUAGGUUUUUUAGCAUAUGCUCCCAGGGCCAAUAAUAUGAAGUCUAAAUUAAUAUUAAUUAUUUUAAUUAAUAAAUAUUAAUUUAAUAAAUAUUAGUCUAAAUUAAUGAACUCUCAGGCUAGAGGAGCAAAAGUAGUGCUUAUGGUAGGAGAGGCACAAAUCAUCCUAUUGAUUGAGUACAGGUCAGAUUAGAUGUAGAAUGUUAUAUUCCAUUCUGGACGACAUGAAUUGCAAUGCACCCAAUGAAGGGAGCUCAGAACUAUAAAGCAUCCAGAAACCAUGUGAGAUCAAGGCAUUGGGUCAGUUUACCCUGGAGGAGGAAGACCCAGAGAAACUGACCGCAGCCUCUAAUGUUGGAACACUUUUGACAACCAAUGCAGGUCCAAUGCUAGAGGUGUUAUUAAGAAGCAACUUUGGGUGCUGUCUUCAGAUAGAAGUUGGAUGGCUACUGGUAAAGGAGACAGGAGAAGGUUUUUCACAUUGGGAGGGGAGUUAAGACCGAGUGACCCCUGUCCCUGAGGCCUGUCCCAGGUCUAAGGCACCUGUAUUCUAAAGCACUGAUUGUUUCCCAUGCAAGAAGAAAAAAAGCAGAAUCAUAUUCUUAUUAUAUUAUAGGUAACACUUAUCAAGUGCAUAUUCUAUGUGCCUAGUGUUGUGCUAUGCACUCUCCACAGAGGGAAAGUAGAGAGGGAGAGGGCUUGUAGGAUUUUAAGUUCUGAGAAGUGUUAAGAUACAUUUAAUAUACAGACUAAGUUUUCACAAAUGCUUCCAUCCAUAGAAAAGGAGCUGGGGAGAAAUAUUAUAGUGUUUAUGGGGUGGGGAAGGGAGAAAAAUAGAAAUAAACUAAUAUUCCUCAUGUGCUAGGCAUAAUGACUAAUAAAAUGUUUUAACUCUAACUAGAAGUCUUUAACUUGUGACCAAAUUAUUAUCAGGCACUCCAAAAAAUGAGCCUCAAUGAGUCUGCAGAUCAAGUGUAUACUUGUGCAUUAUAAGGUAGCCAUUUCAAAAUUAAUUAUAUAGAAAUGCUUAUAAGAAAUGUAUCUAAUUUUACAAAAAGAAUAUUAUUUCUUUGACUUUAUAAAUAAAUAUUUCUAACACUAACUUACCAUAUCCUAUAGGCUUAGGCUGGCAUAUUCCUACUAUAACAUACAAAAAUGUUUGAAACAAAUGUUUCCAGUGAUAAGUGGCAUAAAUCUCCUCACUUUCUUUUCUAUAUCAAAAUGUUACACAAAAUUUAUUUUUAUGAGGAGACAAGUGAAGAGAGUUGUUCUGCCUAUUUGUGCCCAGGGUUCUCUUUGGAACACUGGAGCAUUUUAUUUAUAAAAUCAAAGAAUUUUCAAGAUGAAAGAAAUGUUAGAGAGCACGUUAAUCCGAUUAAACUUUAGAGAUAAAAAAAAAAAAAACCUUACAUUGUAGAGCUCUCAAGUAAUAUGCCUAAGGUGACAUGAUUAAUUGGCAUAAGAACUGAGGAACCAAUCUAAUCAAGGUCUCCUGUGAGUCCUGACACCCAGAUCAGUUUCAGGUUCCUUCAACUCAAUCAAAUGCCAAGAAAGCAGAACUUUUUGAGUCCUCUGUAUUAAGAUUUACCAGAAAAGUGUUAGAAAACACUGUAAUUUUUAUUAGCUUUGAAUGUUUGUCAUAUUAUCCAUAUUGAUUAAAAAGAACUUACUUCCAAAGCAUAAUAUACUGGUUUGUCUCUGCCAAGUUUGUAAGCCACUGUGGUGAGAAGGCCAUGAUCAGAAAAUACACACUGUAAGAAAGAAAAAAAAAAGAUUUCAGUAGUGGAAAAUGAAAAGAUAACAUGAGAACUUUUUUUUAAAGUUAAAAUAACAUAGGUACAAAAUAAUGCAAUCAAUAAACCAAUUUUUAAAAUAAAUCCUUACAGUCAAAACGAUCAGAAUUAAGAACACAUUUAAGCUGUAUAAAAAGUUUAUUCCUUGUUUCAAAUUAGAUUUGCAUUAAGAAUUUGAUGAGGUCUCAGUCUAGAUUUCCCACCAGCACAAUUAAAAACACACAUAUAAAAUUCAAAGAGUCUAAAAUGGUUCUUAUUAGAACGAUUCAAAUUUUGUAUUGAGCUCUAAAUUAAACCCUGAUAAAGAUUAAGUAAAAGCUAAAGACUAAAAGUUGUUUAAUAGUAAAUUAUGUUCAAGCAUUAUUUAGAUGAACUUAGACUUUUAAAUCAAUUUUUUAAUUUAAAAAACCAACCUUAUGGCCUGUAUUACAUAGUAAGAAACAUCCUGUUCCAUACCUAUGGUUGAAGGGAGAAUGAAUAGUAAGACAAUUUUAUUGAAAGCAAAUAAUGAAACAUUAAUAACACAAAUGAUCAAAACUGACAUAUAAUUUAGUCCAAAAAAGUCAUUAUAGUUUUAUAAAAGUUCCUAAAGUUAACAAAAAUCAUAUAUCUUCCUGGAAUAAUGUUUUAGAAAUCAGCCUAGAAGAAAAUGUACUUAGUGCAAUCUUUUUUUUUUUUUUUUUGAGAUGGAGUCUUGCUCUGUCACCAGGCUGGAGUGCAGUGGCGCGAUCUUGGCUCAUUGCAACCUCCGCCUCCCGAGUUCAAGCGAUUCUCCUGCCUCAGCCUCCCAAGUAGCUGGGACUACAGGCAUGUGCCACCACGCCCAGCUAAUUUUUUCUAUUUUUAGUAGAGACGGGGUUUCACCGUGUUAGUCAGGAUGGCCUUGAUCUCCUGACUUCGUGAUCCACCCACCUCAGCCUCCCAAAGUGCUGGGAUUACAGACGUUUAAGCCACUGUGCCUGGCCAUUGCAAUCUUAAUAGAAAAAUGCAGAUAUAGUAUUUAGUGUUUAGUCAGUCCUAGGCCAGGGCUGUGUUUAUAAAAUACCACUGAAUUACAACAAAUUCUAAGUUCUGUCAUAGUUAUGUUACUACUAAUCCAUGUGGAGUGAAGCAUCAUGACUGACAGCCAGCUUAGCUCUAUCAUUAAUACAGUCAUAAAAUGAGAAACACCACUACCUUCUGGCAGGGUGGGGAGGCUGGAUACAGAGUGUGGGAGGGUGUAGUUGGAAAGCUAGGACAAGAGUGGCAUGGAACGGAAGGCAAUUUAAGGUCUACCUUUGAUAAUCAGAGCCAGAAUGUAACAUGGCUGAUACAGAAGAACUGAAUUUAUUUUGUGGCAGCCUUAUCAAUAUAAACUUUGGAUUCUGCAGCAAGUCUGGCCCUUGGACAUUAAUAGGUAGUUUUGACAUGUGCCAGGCAGAUAAGUGGCCCAAAGUGAUACCAGUAAGGGUCACAGAGGAACAGUUAAGCUUGGGGUAACAAGGUUGCUACAGUCACCCUUGCUUGGCUCUGCCCAAGCUGGGCAUUCCUUCCCCGUGGGCCUUGCUGCUGUGCCCUGCACCACCAGGGUUCUAACUGUGCUGGUGACAUUCCAGCAACUGAAAGAUGGGACAGUGCUCAGUCCAGGAGCUGGCAGAAGGAUCCCAGAAGAAGCUACCACCAGUCAGCACUAACUCAACAGAUCCCAUCAGCUGCAUUUUGAUUGUGCAACAAACACAAAACCAAGGGAAAUUGUUUUCCGACAUUUUUCCAGGUACCAUUGUUACCAUAAGGAUUAGCCUAGGAUAGUCUAUCUCUUCUCACCCAAAUAUAUUCUUGGCCUGCUUGAUGAGCAGGUGACAAAUUCAAGGAGCAUGGGACUAAUAUCUAAUUUUGUAAAGAUACUUGUCAAAUAACACUAGGUACAGGUAAUACAUUUACAAACUAAAACACAAAAUCACUAUACCGUUUUAUUGCCGCACACUGAAAAAGCUACAUGUUUCAAGUUAAUCUACUGUGAUAAAUAUUCAUAAAAAUGGAAGUUAAUUAUCUAUUUCAUGCUUUUUAAAGGAGAAAUCUGUACCAAUUUAGCAUCCAUAUAAACACUAUACUGAACAGUAGCGUACGCGUCUUAGUGCAAAACUGAUGAGAAGACUGAAGGUACUUAAUAAAAGUGAAUUCUUAAGUGAGUAUACUUAAUAAGCAAUUAAUGAGUAUUAGCAAAUAUGAAGAGACUUCUUUGCUAUACUUAGGCCACAGCUUUUAAAGCAGUACACAGGCAAGUAUUUUCCUCUUAAAUUUUAUUGUUCUUUCUUCCCAGUCAUCAAGCACAUAUGGAGCUUUCAGCAUUUACAUGAUCUACCUCGCCUUCCUCAUUGUACAUUGUACUCACAGAACACUGUACUGUGUUCAAACAUAGCAGAAAGAUGUCUCACUUUUCUAACUUCUACAAAGGUAAACGUUGCUUGCUCUCCUUCAUGACUAUCAGAUCAGGACUGAGCAGCCCAGAGAGGUGUGACGAAGAUGGCGCAUAGGGGCAGGGGGGUUGACCCCAGAGGAAGCUGUGAGGGAGGUAAAAAACUCUGUCACACCCAGUCAGCACUACUGGACAAAUGAGACAGCUAUCUCAUGUGCUCUUUCAGAAAAAUAAAAUUUAAUGUUCAAAUAAUUUUUACAUUCUAGAAAAAUUGGAAAAUACAGCUAAGCUGAAAGAAAAAUUAGAAUCAUCCAUAAUUUCUUCCCCCACUCUGAAACAGAGAUGGGCUUUUCAUUGAAUUCUGAGCUGACUGUCAUUUUCUCCCUGCUGAGGUUGGGAGAAAUUAACUAAAUUUUCAAUCCCAAUCUCUCUAACCUCUUACUUGGUCUUGUCCAUCACUUAUCCCCCAUUUAUUUUACAACUUUCAUCUGUUCUCCGCUCAGACUCCAAAGAAACAUUCUCUGGUCUUACCAUAACUUACAAACAAAAUCAAACAAAAUUCCCAAAAUGUUACAUAAUCCUGUUAACCUCACAAACUAUGUCCUUCUCUCACCAUUCCUGGAUGGUUGUAUUUUUGCAAAGCACAUGUCUUCGAUUUCCUACCUGCUUACAUCUCUUUUGACCAUUUGCAACCAGGCUUCUAUCUUGAGCAUUCUAGUACAACUUCACUCUUGAAAGUCACAAAACGGCUGGGCGCGGUGGCUCACGCCUGUAAUCCCAGCACUUUGGGAGGCUGAGGUGGGCAGAUCAUGAGGUCAAGAGAUCGAGACCAUCCUGGCCAACAUGGUGAAACCCCGUCUCUACUAAAAAUACAAAAAUUAGCUGGGUGUGGUGGCGGGCGCCUGUAGUCCCAGCUACUCGGGGGGCUGAGGCAGGAGAACUGCUUGAACCUGGGAGGCAGAGGUUGCAGUGAGUUGAGAUCAUGCCACUGCACUCCAGCCUGGUGACAGAGCGAGACUCCAUCUCAAAAAAAAAAAAAGUCACCAAACGAAGACCUAAUUUCUAUGUAUAAUGGUCCAUUCUUGGUACUCAGCCUCCAUGACCUCUUAGUAAUGUUUUGCGCUACUGACCAUGCCUCCCUCAUAAAUAUGUCUACCCUGGAUUUCCACACUAAUGAAUAAUUUCAGGCUAGGUGCAGUGGCUCAUGCCUAUAAUCCCAGUAGUUUGGGAGGCUGAGGCAGGAGGAUUGCUUGAGCCCAGGAAGUUGACACAGCCUGGGCAAUAUAGUAAGACCCUAUCUCUACAAAAAAUUUAAAAAUUAGCUGAGUGUGGUGGCAUGCACCUGUAGUAUCAGCUACUCAGGAGGCUGAGAGGGGAGGAUCACUUGAGCCCAGGAGGUCAAGGUUGCAGUAUGCUGGGAUCUCACUACUGCACUCCAGCCUAAGUGACAGAGCAAGACCCUAUCUCAUAUAUAUAUAUAUAUAUAUAAAAUGAAUAACUGCAUUGUUUUUCUGACUUCUCCAUCCCCGUGCCUGCUACUUCUACUUGUGUAAAUAUCUCCUCUACUUGUAUAUUUUUUCUUGGUAAUUUCAUCUACUUCUGUUGCUUCAAAAUCCCCUCUAUCUAGGGAAAUUCUAAAAUUUCCAUCUUUUUUUUUUUUGAGGCAGUCUCUCUGUCACCCAGGUUGGAGUGCAGUGAUGCAAUCUCGGCUCACUGCAGCCUCCACCUCCCAGGUUCAAGCAAUUUUCAUGCCUCAGCCUUCUGAGUAGCUGGGAUUACAAGCACUCACCACCACACCCAGCUAAUUUUUGUGUUUGUAGUAGAGACAGGGUUCUGCCAUGAUGGCCAGACUGGUCUCAAACUCCUGACUUCAAGUGAUCCACCUGCCUUGGCCUCCCAAAGUGCUGGCAUUACAGGUAUGAGCCACUGUGCCUGGCCAAAAAUUUCUAUUUUUAUACUGAACUUAUUCCACAUUUCCAAAUGUGUGCAACAUACAGCCUGCCAGCACCACAAACACGCUCUGAACAGAAAUUCUUCCACUCAGACCCUUUCCUUACUUUGGCUAAGCCUAACCACAGGGUCCAGGUACCUAGAUGACAUACCUACUUCCCCUCCCUUUCUCCUCUGCAGUGCCAUGCACAUUCACUCAUGGCCUCCCUCUCUGUCUCCAUCCUUCUGAGCCCAUGUGCUCAUUACCGGGACACUAUGGUGGCUUCCUCCAUGGCAUCUUGGCCUCUAGUCUUUCCUCACUUUCACCCAAGACUGCUACUGACAACUCCAGUCAUCUCUGAACACCAGCUUAUAAACCUUCAAAAGUUUCCUAUUGCCUAUCAAGAAAAGCUCCUUAGCCUGAAAUAUAGGGCUUCACAACAUGAUCCUAGCUUUAUAUUUUUUGUCACUUCCCUACUCUAAUGUUCUCUACAUUCUCUAAACAAAGUCUUCUAUUUCCCCAUACGUAUCUUUGUUCAAUGUUCCCUGUACCCUCCAAUACUGCUCAUUUUUCAAAGCAUCUCAUUACUAAGAUAAUCUUUUGUGACUUUUCUAUCCUCCCAUUGAAACCCAACAGCUUUGCUUCAAAGUUUCUCAUGGCACUUGAUUCCAGCUGCCUGGAACCCAGAUUCCAAGAAUGUUUCCAGACUCAGGCUGACUCAGAUGCUCUUGGUCAUGUAACCUCAGAUUACCAUGACCUGCAAAGAAUUCCCACAUCCCUCCUCCUCAAAAAACUCUCACACAAAUAAUGUCACACUCUUGCAUGAGAGCCACUGACCCUGCUAGACUACAAGAACGUUUAAUCUAGAAAUGUUACACAUUCCAUUAUUCACAAAGGAAGAACUUAACCACUGAAGUUAAAAUCGAUGAGAUAAUUAGGAAAUCCUCAAGAAAAUAGCAAUUAAAUGUAGCCUCUUGCCAGUUAUAUGGAAAUCUUUUCCAUACAGGAGGUAGUACAGUACACAGGUUAAGAACCCUGGCUAAGGAAUGACAUGGAUCUGGGUGCAAAUAUUGCAUCUCCCACUUACUAGUUGUGUGCUGUUGCAUAAAUUUUUUUCUUUAAUUCUCAGUUUCUUGAUCUAUAAAAUGGGAAUAAUAGGAUCUAUAUGUGGAUUAAAUGAUAUCAUGUGUUUAAAGCACAUGAAACAUUAUAGGUAACACAAUAGCCAUUGGCUAAGCUUGUGUUAUAAUUGUUAGUAUUAAUUCAGCUUUUGAGGCAUAUUUAAUUUUGUUCAUGAAUACGUAUAAUUGGCAGGUAGAUUUUUUAAUAUUUAAAAGAUUACCUUGGCCAGGAGUGGUGGCUCACGCCUGUAAUCCCAGCACUUUGGGAGGCCAAGGCGGGCAGAUCACCUGAGGUCAGGAGUUUGAGACCAGCCUGACCAACAUGGAGAAACUCCGUCUCUACUAAAAAUACAAAAUUAGCUGGGCGUGGUGGCGCAUGCCUAUAAUCCCAGCUACUCGGGAGGCUAAGGCAGGAGAAUAGCUUGAACUUGGGAGGCGGAGGUUGCAGUGAGCCGAGAUCGCGCCAUUGCACUCCAGCCUGGGCAAGAAGAACGAAACUCCAUCUCAAAAAAAAAAAAUAAAUAAAAAUAAAAAGUAAAAAUAAAUAAAUAAAUAAAAAGAUUACCUUCAAAUAAAUAUAGUGAUUGGUGGGAACAGAAAGAAAGAGUGCCAGAUUCAGACUCAGAAGGCAUGGCCUUGAGAUCUGGUUCUGCUUUUGUGUCAAGGCUAUGACCUUAGGCAAGCUCCUUGAGUAUCCAUUUUCUUAUCCUAAAGUGGGAGUCAUCUUCUUAUUACUCUUAGAUAUGGGGCUUGUUCCAGAUUCUGCAUGUGUGAGUAGUAAGAAGAUGAGAUUGAGAGAAAAAUAUACCAAAUCUCUACUUCUAUCAUUCUUUCUGCUUCUUGUCAAAGGAGAAACUUCAGAUAAUGGAGAGAAAGCACAAUGCCAGGAAAGGCGAAACUUCAGAUAAUGGAGAGAAAGCACAAUGCCAGGAAAAUAACCUUGAAAAUCCCACAAAAAUAUAACUUUACAGUUAGUGAGAAAGACUUAAUAUGCCAAAAACUAUAUAUUACAGCUCUUCCUCACUUCUUCCCACCCCUCUCACCACCCCACCAAUCUCCCCAAAAAGGCAAGAAUACUUUGAACCAAAAUUUAGUUUUUAGGAUAUAAAAGGUAAUGAAUUUUACAAAUUAAGGUUUUGUUUAUUUGUUUGUUUUUGAGACAGAGCUUCACUCUUGUUGCCCAGGCUGGCAUACAAUGGCGUGAUCUCGGCUCACCGCAACCUCCACCUCCCGGGUUCAAGCGAUUCUCCUGCCUCAGCUUCCCGAGUAGCUGGGAUUACAGGCAUGCACCAACACGCCCGGCUAAUUUUGUACUUUUAGUAGAGAUGGGGUUUCUCCAUGUUGGUCAGGCUGGUCUCUAACUCCCGGCCUCAGGUGAUCCACCUGUCUCGGCCACUCAAAGUGCUGGGAUUACAGGCGUGAGCCACCGCGCCCAGCCUACAAAUUUAGGUCUUUAUAAGCUUCAUCAGUGUGCAUAUAUAUGGCAUUUUGUAUUUUAUUUAAAGAUAUAAAAAAAUGGUAAAAAGUGUAUAUAUGCAUAUUGGAGCUAUUAAGCUAUUGAUUUUCAUCCUGGAUGAACUUCAAAAGCUUUUCCUUAUUCAAAGCACCAAGUAGAAAAAACAAAACAGCAUUGGUUUUUAAGUCUGUUUCUUAAACUCACGUAUUUUUGGCUUGUCCAAUCUGGAAGCACAUUUGUCCCACCAAUGCAGCAGACUGGUCCCCUAAACACUGAAAGUAUAAAUGACAAUAAAGAACACUGACUAAUACAAUAGUAUUAACUUUCUUUUUAGAAGAGCCAUAGGAUUUUUCAUUUUUUAUUUAUCAAAGAAUGAACUGUCUAUUUCCUUGCAUUUUCUCCAUUUGGCCAUUUUCCCCAUUUGUUAAUACCAUUUGUUAAUAUGUAAGAUAAUAGGUAUGGGAAGGGAGAGUUAAAAUUAAUUUAUUCAAAAGAUUCUCAAUGGCCCACAGUAUGACAUGUAAGAACAAGAAUUAGCCAAUUUUGCAACUUUUACUUGUUUUCCCUAGUUUAAAAAGAGGCACACUGAUGAACUAAGAGGAGGAAAGCCAUAACAUGGGGAAGGGUGGGGAUGGGGAGACACUUGGUGAUGAAACUUACCCCAGAUAUUGGCACACCUUCCAAGGCCCCAGCUUUCUAAUAAAAUUUAAAAAAAGGAUUAUGAAUAGUCACAAAAUUUUGGCUCUACUAACAUAGCUGCAACAAGAGUGAACACAAGUAGCAAUGUGCCAGAGGAUGUGGGCAGACAAGACAAAGAAAGCAUUUCAACUAAAUGAAUGAUAAAGAGACAGAUACUACAAGUAUUCCUAGAAUGACAGGAAGAGAUGUGGCACUGGAGAAUGAACAUAAAACGUUAGACUGGGAGCCAGUAAAUGAGGGCUCUACUCUUGGUUAGUUAGUUAGUAUUAAUCUACUAGCAGGCUGUUGAAACCUCUCAAUACAUCACAUUAUUUCUCUACAAAAUGGAGAUUGGGCUACGUGAUUGC